rnacentral:rRNA from 1 species
AUGGCCAGCAGAGGGUCUCCGCCCAAGCUGUGCAGCAAGGCGGAGGACGCGGCCGUCUGCGGGGAGGGCAAGCGCAGCACCAAAAGGAAGGCUCCGGCGGCCGGCCGUCGCCGUCCGCGCAAGGGCUGCAGUUCCGACGGAGAAGCAGCGGCCUUCAAGAAGACGGAGGCAGAUGCCGGCUUCUCCGAGGUAGGCAAGAUCUCGAAGCAAAAGCAGGGGCAAGAGGAAUCGGCCGAGGAUUUCGACACUUUCAUAGCUAAGCUGGAAGAGGAGCACGAGAAGUACUGGGGAGAGUAUACGUCUGAUGGCGUCAAGAGAUUUGAGUACAAAGAUUACUCUUCGUAUCCGGUGACCGAAGACGGUUUCAUCGUGCUGGGUGGCUGA